rnacentral:rRNA from 1 species
UGGGGAAUAUUGGGCAAUGGGCGCAAGCCUGACCCAGCGACGCCGCGUGCGGGAUGACGCUUCUCGGAGUGUAAACCGCUGUCAGAGGGGACGAACGGCCGGAGUGGGAAUACUGCUUCGGAUUGACGGUACCCUCAAAGGAAGCGCCGGCUAACUCCGUGCCAGCAGCCGCGGUAAUACGGAGGGCGCAAGCGUUGUUCGGAAUCACUGGGCGUAAAGCGCGCGCAGGCGGGUGUGCAAGUCGGAAGUGAAAUCCCGGGGCUCAACUCCGGGGCUGCUCCCGAUACUGCAUGUCUAGAGACCAGUAGGGGUUGGUGGAAUUCCCGGUGUAGCGGUGGAAUGCGUAGAUAUCGGGAAGAACACCUGUGGCGAAGGCGGCCAACUGGGCUGGAUCUGACGCUGAGGCGCGAAAGCGUGGGGAGCAAACAGGAUUAGAUACCCUGGUAGUCCACGCCGU